rnacentral:rRNA from 1 species
GUUGAAGUAAUCUGGAACGUUUUGGCAUAGAGGGUGAUACCCCCGUAAACGAAAUGGUAUAGGAUUAGUUGAGUACCAGAGUAGAUGUCCUUGGUAGUGGGCAUCGAAUAUUAGGAGAAAGUAGCUUCUAAGGCUAAAUAUAACUCAAAACCGAUAGUGCACUAGUACCGUGAGGGAAAGCUGAAAAGUACCCCGGAAGGGGGGUGAAAAGUGCAUGAAAUCUAUUACUUACAGACGUGCAUAGCAUGAAAGGUGAUUUUUCUAAAUUGGAGGUUCUAGCAAUAGAGCUAAAGAUUUGGAGCUCAAAUCGUCAGUGUUAUGCGUUCCGUCUCGAAACACGGGCCAAGGAGCUAACUGUCAUGGCAAGACUAAACCAGACAAGGUGGAGUCGAAGGGAAACCGAGUUCUCGCAGCAUUAGCGAGGAGAAGCGUGUGAAAGUGCGUUGAGUCAUGGCGGCUAGGCUAGAAGCCAGUCGAUCUAAUCCUGAGCAAGCUGAAGGCGGGCGAAAGCCCGCUGGAGGGCUGAAGCAGUUCUGACGUGCAAAUCGUUUGUGUGACUUGGGAUUAGGGGUCAAAAACC